rnacentral:rRNA from 1 species
GGACCCGCACAAGCGGUGGAGCAUGUGGUUUAAUUCGAAGCAACGCGAAGAACCUUACCAGGUCUUGACAUCCUCUGACCAUCCUAGAGAUAGGACCUUCCCCUUCGGGGGACAGAGUGACAGGUGGUGCAUGGUUGUCGUCAGCUCGUGUCGUGAGAUGUUGGGUUAAGUCCCGCAACGAGCGCAACCCUUGUCCUUAGUUGCCAGCAUUCAGUUGGGCACUCUAAGGAGACUGCCGGUGACAAACCGGAGGAAGGUGGGGAUGACGUCAAAUCAUCAUGCCCCUUAUGACCUGGGCUACACACGUGCUACAAUGGAUGGUACAAAGGGUUGCGAAGCCGCGAGGUGAAGCUAAUCCCAUAAAACCAUUCUCAGUUCGGAUUGCAGGCUGCAACUCGCCUGCAUGAAGCCGGAAUCGCUAGUAAUCGUGGAUCAGCAUGCCACGGUGAAUACGUUCCCGGGUCUU